UCAGGGUUUUCACCAUGAGGUCAAUGGUGAAUUAAAAACCUUUAGUUUAAUGGCUGUGAUGGAAGAAAUCGGAGGAUGGAUCAACAACAUUGUAGUUUUUCAACAAUACUGACCUAAUUGACAGAGUGAAAAGAAACCCUGUAUGGAAUAAAAAUAUUCCUAAACAUUCAUCCUGUUUGAAAUUGGGCACUAAAAUGCGGCAAAGAAAUGAACUUAAUGUCCAGAAUACAAAACGCUGUGUUAGGGGCAAAUCAACAUGAGUCUGAGUACCACUCUUCAUAUUUUCAAGCAUGGUGGUGGCUGCAUCAUGUUAUGGUGAAACUUAAUCCUAGAGGAAAACCUGAUUUCAGUCUGCUUUCCACCAGAAACUGGGAGAUUUAUUCACCUUUCAACAGGACAAUAACCUAAAAUGUGGCCAAAUUGACACUGGAUUUGGUUAUCAAUAAGACAGAUGGUGAAUGUUCCUGAGUGGCCAAGUUACAGUUUUGAAUUAAAUCUAUUUUAAAAUCUAUGGCAAGACCUGAAAAUGGUUGUCUAGUGAUGAUCAACAACCAAUUUGACAGAGCUUGAAGAUUAUUUUUUAAAGAAUAAUGGGCUAAUGUUGCGCAACUCAAACUCACAGCUGUAAUCGCUGCCAAAGGUGCUUCUGAAAAGUAUUCACUUGGGUGUGUGUUUUCAUUUUCAAUAAAUUUGCUAACAUUUCUAAAAACAUGUUUUCACUUUGUCAUUAUGGGUUAUUGUGUGUAGAUGGGUGAGGAGAAAACAUUGAAUACAUUUUGAAUUCAGACUAACACAACAAAAUGUUGAAUAAGUCAAGGGGUAUGAAUACUUUCUGAAGGCUGUGUCUGUGUGUGGGGAUAUAUAGUACUGUGCAGUGCAAAACCUUUUAUAUCCCAGUAAAUAUUGCUCAGUCUGUAUGGACAACAUAAUGUGUUGUGGUCACUAAAGCUGUAAUUCUAUGGCUUUGCUGUGCGGAUGGUGGUUCUAUGGAUGUGCUAGACUGCUGACAUGUCUAAAUGCAGUAUUUAAUGUAUUAGUGAGGCCGAUUAUAAACAUCACUCAUUACAUUUUAAUUAAUGCUGUCUGGUUGUACCAUUUUUAAAUCCUCCACAAUAAGUUUGACUCCAUCCUAUUGAAACACAUGGUGUAUUUUACAAGUCAAUUCAGGCUUGACUUAAGGGAAGCUACUGGUUAACAUGGCUGCCCCAGUUACUUAAAAUACUCAUACUUACAGAAUAUUAUGUAGUAACAUUUGAAAAUAUGGUUGUCCUUUCUAGCUUCAGCCUUCCAGUUAGGCUUUUCACUGUUUUUCUUUCUUUUUUACACUGGUUGUAGUCAAACGGGAACAAGCGGUCCUUGAGCUUAAUUGUGUAAAAAUAUAUAAUUAAUAUUGUUUGAGUAUGGGUGCCAGUAUACAAAACUGUAAGAUGACUAUGGGAUAUAGUCACUCUCUUUAGGCCACAUCAAAUGAAAUGGAGUAUCUUAUCAGUCAGUCAACCGGAUGGGGGAGAUGUGAGAAUGUAACCGUAGUGGCACUCUGCUGGGCCUCUUUUCCUCUGGGUUUGGGGAUGUUUCAUGAUAUCCCCACUCCACCAGCCCCCAGCAUCACAAAGCGGCAUAGCCCUUUUUACACAUCACGAACGGGAACUGUGGAUAAAUCACAUUUUUGUAUCAAUGUGUGUCUAAUAUUGUAGUUACAUUUUGGGGCCCUAUGCUAAACCUAGCUUGUGGGAUGGGGAGGGAGAGACUGUCAUAGGACUGGAAUUAGUGGGAAUGCAUCGCAGAACAGCUUAACUGUAAGUUGGGGCUUGUGUGUGAGUUUAGACACUUGUCAGAAGGGAGAGUGAGUUUUGGCCCAAGUGUGUUGAUGGGGUGCACUGUGUACGUGUGAGAGUGCUUUGGAUACACUGGGGGUGUGUCUCUUAAAUUCACACACCCCUCUCUCUUUUCCUCUUUCUCUCACACACCCCUCUCUUUUCCUCUUUCUCUCACACACACUGAGCUUGGAUCCUAAUCUCCCUCACUGCUAGUUCUCUGGCCUGCUCCUCUCAUGGAGAGAUGACUCAUGUUGAUUACUAAUGCGACAGGCGUUGGUUUGGUGUCAGUGUUUAUGGCCGGGUGAGGGUUGUGAUGGAGCUGCAAUACGUAGGGUAGUUUCUCUGUCAUUUCUCUGUGGGUCCGGUGCCGAGGAGGCGUCAGUCGGGACGUAGCUCUGAAAUGGCCGGCGUCACACUGCUUCUGCUUUGUCUACUUCCUGUUGAUGGCUUUUCUGGCCCUGCAGUGGCUACAGUGGGGAGAUGGAGCAGCUCUAUUGAAGUGACGCAUGCUGGUCAUGGGAAUAGUUGUAUGGGAAGCCCUCUCCCUAACCUUGACUGGAUGUCUCCCCCCCAGUUCACUAUACAUGCAUCUGGACUGUGCUGUGUUGGAGUGAGAACGGCCCUACUGUAACAGACCCGCCUGACCGUGAAUGGGGAGAUAGAUUGGUGCUCGGAGUUCACUCGCAAGUCUCCAUUAGUGGAGUCGCGUGAAAUGAACAAACUGUGUUUGACUGUGUGUAGGCUUGGUUUGUGAGUGUGUCUCUUCUCUGACAUUGGUGUUGUGCAGAGGGAACCCCAGUCAGUCAGUUAGCUCUGCGGUCACUCUGCCUGCCUUGUUCUCUACUGGGCAUGUGUUGUGUGUUGGACAAGUGGGAACGGGCUGCUGAAGUUUUUGCAGGAUUAACACCCACAACUGCAUGACUGGUGUUUCUAUGGCUUAGAAGGGUUCCUAUUUAUAGAUGUCAGGCCUGGUGUAAAUUACUAUAAACAAUAAACUGAACCUCUACCUCCCUGCCUGCACACACCCCUGUCCAAAACAGUUACCUCUGGCUAGUUACUCACCACAUUAAACUCUACUAUUUUAGGGUGAAAUUAACUCUCUAAAAGACAUGAAUACACCCAAACCAAGUGUGGAAUGGUCACCUUUAAGUCCCUAACCAUUCUAGAUGAAUGCUGAGAAUUUUGGUUUAAUGUGACUGGAUUUUGGUAGUUUGGUUCUGUUAAUAGUGAUUUAUAUUUUGUUCAAUUUAUUGUAAUGAUUUUAUUAAAAUUGCAGUGUCACGUGUGUGGGAGAGGGAUAGUAAGAAAUGUGUUUGUAGGUUGUGUCAUUGAAGUAUAAUUCAAAUGUAGGCCUAUAUUAUAUUUUAGAAAGUGAUUGCCACCUUUAAAAAAUCAAACAUUCUUAGAUAAUGGACAAGAACAUCCCUCCAUACACAAGUACCCAGUUCUUCCAACUUCAGUCUAGUUACACCAUGUAGUUACACCAUGUCAUGGUGUAACUAGACUAAAGUUGGAAGUACAUCUGGGUUAUUGUGUAUGGAGGGAUGUCCUUGAAAAUAAAGCCAUAGCUAAGGAAAUUGCCCUAUUAUGUUAAGUUUGACUUAUUUUCUUUUUAAAAAAAAUAUAGAUUUAUCUAGUGUGCCAUUUUAGUUGUAUGUGAAGUUGCAUGGGACUGCUUUCAAACCUAAAAUCCUUUCCCAGAAUGUAAUAUCAGGCUUCUAUAACUUGUUCAGUAAUUUGAAAUGUAUUUGCAUUUUUGGUACUAGUUGUUGUCUAAACUGAAUUAUGAUAUGACUGCUUUUUAUAUUUGACAGCAUUGUGCAUACAAUCCUCAUAACCUACUUAAAAUAAUCAAAGAAAAAUGAUAACUUUUCCCUCAACUAAAGUCUGGAUGUAUCAACCCUAUCAAAUUAAUUAUUUAAAUGACUGAACCAUUCUACCAUUGAAUAACAAUAAAGCAACAUUUGAACAUUUACAUAAAACAAUUGUCAGUACAGUUGAGAAACUUCUUAGAAAUGUCCAUAUAGCCUACACAACAUAUACGCACAUAGCAGAACAGACUUUUGUGUUACAAAUGAGGCUAAACUAAGUUUGCUCUUGACAAGAGAAUGGUUUGUGAUGGGGGGGUCUAGAGCAUCCUGCCCCUGUGGAAGGGGGUCACUCGACCUUUGCCCCCAGGGUCAGGUCACUCUGAGAAGAUUAUUCAGGGUGCGAGCCAUAGGAACGGGUUAAAAGGCUGAGGAGCAGAGGCGACAAUGGGAGAGAGCAGGGAAAGGUUAAAGCCAUAAUGGUGUGUGUAUGGAUAUUGGGUUGUAGUGACACCUGGUCAGAGCUCCUCUUGGCCCACUGACGCAGUCUGAGGCCUCAUUCACUCACCUGGUUCGUGAGUUAAUUUAUGAUUUUUCAUAAAGGUAAAGCGGGAGCGAGAGAGACCCAGAGAGGGACUGUCUCAAGGAGUGGUGUGUGUGUGUGUGCGCACAAGUGUAUUAUUUUUCUUUAGAUCAAAUCGGGUUCGAUUUAUUUUUCAAUCAACCGGGGGAGUGGGAAUGCAAUUUAAUUAGAAAAAUAUGACAUGCCUGACUUGAAAUGUAAUCAACUGAUAUGAAGUAAGUCUGUAUACUGUAGUUGCUGGUAUGAAAAGUGGGUUAAAGUGGUACAGAUUGUUUAAUUCUUUAUUACAAUGUACAUGAGUCGGAAGCAUUAAUAUUAUUCAGGCAAUAAUUAACACUUCUCGUGUUAGUGACCAGAAUACACCUUUGCUACCGCAGACCUUCAAUUGAAAAAUUAUAUGGAUUUUCACUUUUAAUUAGUGUUCUAGAUAAACCACUAUAAAACUUGGACCUUAUUUUUCUAGUUUUCUUGUCAGCAUCAUGAAAUAUAGGCCAGUUGCAAUUGAGGCCCCCAUUUUAAAACCUCUUUUGAAAAGGGGGCAUAUUUAAGUGACCUCCUAUCUAGAAGUCAUUUGUGGUUUGCUUUGCUGCACAUUUAGUUGUCAGUGGCUUUUUAACUAAUUAUCUGAGAGAAUUUGUAUUCAGUAUGAGGGAAACGGAAAUCUAUUAAUCAUUAGUUUUCUUGCGUGUCUUUUGACCCACCUUGUCCAAAUUAAUAUUUGUGCCUCAGAGAGGGAGAGUGUGUAUUUGUAUCCCUCGCUCACACUCUGUCCUGGUUAAGUACUUUCUGUUCUAUGAACACUUAGCAGAACACAAUGGAGCAGGCAUUAUCUUUGUAACCCAAAAGUACUCAGCCACAGAACACCUGGGAUACUGCCAUCAAUGAUCAACACUAUCCCCUGGUCAUGUAGAUUUUGUGUAUCAUACUUACCAUGGAGUCUUGUACCAGUGAAAAGGCUUCAAGUUGAGGCUCACCAAAAUCUAAAAACUGAAAUGGUAAAAAAUAUGAAAUACUGAAAAGAUUGUGUUAGGAGGCCAUAGGAUGCAAUGAUCUGAAAUUCGAAUAAAUUAAAACACAGCCUAUCAGCUGUUAGUACAAUUUCACCUUGCAAUAUUUUGGGGGGUAAAUGACUAACUAAAGAUAUUAUUUCUCAUAUGGUAUAACUUGAGUGAAAAAUGAAAUCCUGUGAGAAAAUCCUAGGCCAAAUGUCUUUUUAGCUAACUGGCAGUGCUGCUGUUAAUUUAGAAGUUGUAGUGUAAUUAAACUGUGUAAGAUGCCAAAUGUGUUUGUGUUCACUUCUCUGCUCCCACCCUGUAAUACCGGGGCCCAUCUCCCGACAGCACUGUUAACGCUGGGUUAUUUCCUUAUACACCCACAGUUGUCCAAGAUGGCGUCAUUGUUUGAUAAUCAUUAUAAACACCUGCUUAGGGAGUAGAAAAAGCACAUAUUAUUCGCUCUAUCAUCUCUAUCAUUUCAUUUGUUUUCCAAAUGCUUUAUUUUAAGCUCUGACAAGGUCCAGUUGUAAUUCAUGGCGAUGGACUUCAUAUCCUUGGAUUUUGGAUGCCUCUGUUGUACACACAGAUUUGUGGUCAUAUUUUUCACACACAACCCAGUCCCCUUCUAAUAAGUUACACCAAUCAUUUAUGAAGAUGCUAUCGCUGGCUGGCCAAGGGGGAGUGGAUCAUCAACUAAUUAAUGGUCUUCCAGACGUCCCUUUUUUUCUAUUGGUGACAUUGAUCAGAGUUGUUGAAUUGUGCCGUAGUGCAUUAGUGAUAUUACCAGAGAGUGGUUAUCGGACCUGAUCAAAUCAGCGGAAGCAGGCGAUAUUUGGAAACUAGGGUAACCAUAAUUGUGCCUAUGAUGCUAGUUAAUACCACACCAUAACUGCUGUAUCACUUUAUAAACCCUGUUUGUCUGUUUGCUGCUCUACUUUUCAAUAGGUUCCCCUUUGACCAGAUGGAAGUUGAAGGAUGGUUCAUUCAAACAGCAGUCAACCAUUUUUUUCCCAGUACAAUAAAUGUGACUUAGCAGAGUUGGGGACUAGUCUUUUUUGAUAACUGUCAAGUGACUUGGACAUUGACAUUGUGAUUUGAUAUUUAUGUCCCUUUGUCAUGCUGUGGUUCAGUCUAAUAGUACUUCUGUUCUACUGAUCUUAGGGCAUAUAGUGAGUAAUACAUUUUCAUUCUUGAACUGACUGAUUACUUUCAAAAUGGGCAUUUUCUAGAGGUAUAGCAAUUGCCAGAUUUUUAUUGUUGAAUAAUUAAGAUGUACAUGUCUGAGCUGUAAUAUUUGUAAUUUUGGAAACAAAAUGCUCUAUGACGAUGAAUUAUAUUUACUCUAACCCAAGCCUUGGGGCCAGAUUUAUAAACGUUGCACUAUAGUUUAGCUAAGUAAAACUGGCCUGAUGUGUGAUUUGAAAGUGAAGUGAUUGAAACUGCAUCACCCCUUCAAUUUAGCCGAUUCAGUCUCAACCUGUCAUAAUACACUAACACAAGUGAUCUUUUGUAGAAGAGAGAAAAAAAGUACAACCUCGGUACUUUGCCUUUUUUUAUUUAGCUGAUUAUUUACCCCCAUUCUCUCCUCUGCUUUUCAGAUGGUUUGAGAGUCCUGGAGUUCCUUUCAGCCACCGAUAGACCAUCUGAAUGCUGCUUUCGGGUGAUUCCUCACAAAACUUGAAAAAAAUCUCUCUAUUUUUUUUUACAUUUCCACUUUGUAAUCCAUAUAAUGUUCCUUUGGAGCAAGUAUUGUUGGCAUAUAUUUGACAUUUGUAUCUAAAAGCAUAUUUGAGAAAUAAUCUAUGUUGGCCUACCCAGACACCAUAACUGUUGAUCUAUAUGGGGCACAAACAUAAGCUUCAUGUCAUUUAAAACCUCAUUGUGUGCUCUAAAAUGAGAAACAUUUAAUAAUGUAAAUGUAUGAUUUUGAAAGUAUGAAAAUAUCACAAUUUUUCUCACUGUGUUUUAUGGACUGACAGAAGGUAAGAGCGGGAUUUUUUUGUUAUGACCAAAUGUAUGUGGUGGGGGUAUGUUGAACGCCAUUCUUCCUAUUGCGAGUACAGAACAGCAGAGUACAGUACAUUAUACUGUACUCUGGUGUACUGUACUGACCUAUAGUCUACUUUUCUGUAGUGAACUAUACUGUACUGAACACUACUCUGCUGUUCUGUACUGGCAAUUGAAAGAAUGGAGUUCUGCAUACCCCCACCCCACAUAUAUUUGGUCAUAACUCAAAAAGUCCCAGAGCUCCCACUAACAUUCUGUCAGUAAAAUAUGAGAAAUUGAAGUCGCUAUAUUUGUGAUAUUAAUUUCCAUACUUUUCAAAAUAUUAAAUGUACAUUUAAAUCUUGCAUAAUGAAAUGUUUUACUCAUUUUAGCAGACACAAUGAGGUUUUAAAUGACAAGAUGCAGUUUGUGCCCCAUAUAGAUAAACAGUUAUGGUAUCUUGCAAUGCUCCUGGGUAGGGCUGAAAUGUCAAAUAUGCCAACUUGGAUGAAUUAUUGCUUAAAUAUGCUUUUAGAUACAAAUGUCAAAUAUAUGUCAACAAUACUUAAUCCAAAGGACCAUUUUAUGGAUAAAAUUGUGACAAUCCAAAAAAUUCCCUUUUGUUCUAGUUUCAUGUGGACUCACUGUUUCUUUCUCUGAUGUGUGAGGGGGAGAUAGUGAGCCAGAGGAUGAGGGUAUGCAGGAGAGGGAGUUGGAGAGGAUGAGUGUGUGUGUGUAUGCAGGAGUGCUGAGGGGAGUGAGAGGUGUGUGUGUGUAAGGGAGAGAAUCAGAGGAUGUGUGUGCAGAGGGGAGUGAGAGGUGUGUGUGUGUAAGGGAGAGAAUCAGAGGGGGUGUGUGUGUGUGUAUAUAUGCAGGAGUGCUGAGGGGAGUGAGAGGUGUGUGUAAGGGAGAGAAUCAGAGGAUGAGUGUGUGUAUGCAGGAGUGCUGAGGGGAGUGAGAGGUGUGUGUAAGGGAGAGAAUCAGAGGAUGGGUGUGUGUAUGCAGGGAGUGAGAGGUGUGUGUGUGUGUGAGGGAGAGAAUCAGAGGAUGAGUGUGUGUGUAUGCAGGGAGUGCUGAGGGGAUUGAGAGGUGUGUGUGUGUGCAGGGAGAAUCAGAGGAUGAGUGUGUGUGUAUGCAGGGAGUGCUGAGGGGAGUGAGAGGUGUGUGUGUGUGUGUGUGUGUGUGUAAGGGAGAGAAUCAGAGGAUGAGAGAUGGAGCUGGUUGUGGUGGUGCUGUAGCAGCACAGAAUGGUUUGUGGGUUACACAGAGAUGCAGGCCGUACUGUGCUGCCGCAGUAACGCCUGGACAGACGGCAUCUGUGGAACCACCCGGAAGAGUGUGUGCGGGAGAGUGUGUGUGUGGGAUCCGACUGCCUCAUCACUGGCUGCCUUGCUGUAGCAGCACGUAAAUAUUGGAGUUAAAACUACUGCUGAAGCCUCCAGUAUUGAACGUGCUGCUGAAGCAAAGCUGACCGCUAACCACCGUUAACUUACGGCGAGUCUGCAUGCAUCAGUCCCUCUGCUGCGCAUCGCAGGAGAACGGUGCACAGAAGAAGACACCGAAUGGAGAGGGACGCUGUGUGUCGUCAUCUUUAUGACAGGUACAUAAUUAUUAGGUUAAGCAGUUGUUUUUGUCCAUUUAACUUUUUUACAUGUAUGUUGUAUUUUAUAGUUAAUUUUGGGGGGGGGUUAUGUUCAUAUAUUUGUAUAUACGUUAACAUUUUCUUUGCACAUUAAAUCAUGCAAACAAGUCAUAAUUUAGACUGGCCCAUGUUUUUUUUAUUUUUUUAAUUAAAACUCAUUUGUAUUGCAUUCUCUAAUAAACGUUUUUGAAAUGA